CCUACGGGGUGCAGCAGUGGGGAAUAUUGCACAAUGGGCGCAAGCCUGAUGCAGCCAUGCCGCGUGUAUGAAGAAGGCCUUCGGGUUGUAAAGUACUUUCAGCGGGGAGGAAGGUGUUGAGGUUAAUAACCUCAGCAAUUGACGUUACCCGCAGAAGAAGCACCGGCUAACUCCGCGCCAGCAGCCGCGGUAAUACGGAGGGUGCAAGCGUUAAUCGGAAUUACUGGGCGUAAAGCGCACGCAGGCGGUCUGUCAAGUCGGAUGUGAAAUCCCCGGGCUCAACCUGGGAACUGCAUUCGAAACUGGCAGGCUAGAGUCUUGUAGAGGGGGGUAGAAUUCCAGGUGUAGCGGUGUAAUGCGUAGAGAUCUGGAGGAAUACCGGUGGCGAAGGCGGCCCCCUGGACAAAGACUGACGCUCAGGUGCGAAAGCGUGGGGAGCAGACAGGAUUAGAUACCCUCGUAGUC
rnacentral:rRNA from 1 species